rnacentral:rRNA from 1 species
AUGAAGGUUGUUUCAUUCACGACGCCAUUCACGGAUACGGGAUGGUCGAUGAUCAUUGCACAGAAGGAUCGCAACAAUAGUAUGUGGAUCUUCACGAAGCCAAUGACACCGGAACUCUGGCUCACCAGCCUUGCUUUCUUCUUAAUUACUGGAUUUGUUGUGUGGGCGAUCGAGCAUAAGAUAAACCCUCGGUUCCGCGGCACACCCUGGAAGCAGCUCGGCAUCCUAUUCUACUUUGCAUUCUCAACCAUGGUCUUCUCCCACAAGGAGAAGCUGGAGAGCAACCUGUCAAAGUUUGUGGUGAUCAUGUGGGUGUUUACCGUGCUCAUCCUCACAUCAAGCUACACAGCGAACCUAACGUCGGUGUUGACAAUCCAGCAGCUCAACCCGACAAUGAACGAAUGGACAGAUAGUGACUAUGUGGGGGUUCAAGCGGAUCCCUUCAUCGAGGGCAUGGUGAGGGAGAUGGGCUUCGAUGAGGCAAGGUUCAGGAGGUACACCUCCAUGGAUCAAUACGCGGAUGCGCUCGACAAAGGGUCAGACAAUGGAGGUGUCACAGCCAUCUUCGCAGAGGUUCCCUACCUUAGGCUCUUCCUAUCGCGCUACUGCCAAGGCUACUCCAUGGUGGGUCCAAUCUACAAGAGCGGCGGGUUUGGAUUUGUGUUUCCGAAGGGAUCCCCGCUGGUGGAGGACGUGUCACGUGCCAUAUUGGAGCUGGCGGAGGAGGACGGACUCACGCCCAUCGACAACAAAUGGUUCCGCCACCCCGGAGCCUGCGUGGGCAGGAGGAGCAGAGGCGAGGAUGACGCCAGGCUCGGUCUGUGGAGAUUUCGUGGGUUGUUCCUCAUCAACGCCGUCGUCUCGUGCUUCAUGCUCCUGAUUCACGUCACCAUGGUCGUCUCCCGGGAGCGCGCGAGCGGCAGUCAGCUAAGGGCCGACACGGAGGCCACCACAGGAGUGAUGCUAUGGCUGCGCGCUUGGCUCCAGCGUUUCGACGCCUUCGAAGGCCCGCAAGGCGAGCCAGUGCACAACUGCCAGGGAACGGUGGAGGAGAAUCCCCUACAGGGUCCGGCCACCGGAGCUGACCUGCAAGAUGAUGCCAUGGGAGACUCUGACUCUACUCCCGUGGGAGACACUGAUUCCGGCAGAAAUGCAGCUUCUAUCCCUGUUUCGGAGGAAAACUCAAGGCUCGUUGGGGGGAGCUCUACAAGGCCGUUCCCGCACGAACCUGCACCACCAGCCUUGGCGCCCAUGUAG